AUUGAACGCUGGCGGCAGGCUUAACACAUGCAAGUCGAGCGGAGAUGAGGUGCUUGCACCUUAUCUUAGCGGCGGACGGGUGAGUAAUGCUUAGGAAUCUGCCUAUUAGUGGGGGACAACAUUCCGAAAGGAAUGCUAAUACCGCAUACGUCCUACGGGAGAAAGCGGGGGAUCUUCGGACCUUGCGCUAAUAGAUGAGCCUAAGUCGGAUUAGCUAGUCGGUGGGGUAAAGGCCUACCAAGGCGACGAUCUGUAGCGGGUCUGAGAGGAUGAUCCGCCACACUGGGACUGAGACACGGCCCAGACUCCUACGGGAGGCAGCAGUGGGGAAUAUUGGACAAUGGGGGGAACCCUGAUCCAGCCAUGCCGCGUGUGUGAAGAAGGCCUUAUGGUUGUAAAGCACUUUAAGCGAGGAGGAGGCUACUGAGACUAAUACUCUUGGAUAGUGGACGUUACUCGCAGAAUAAGCACCGGCUAACUCUGUGCCAGCCGCCGCCGUAAAAC
rnacentral:rRNA from 1 species